rnacentral:rRNA from 1 species
UCGGUUGAUCCUGCCGGACCCUACUGCUAUCGGGGUGGGACUAAGACAUGCGAGUCGAGCGUCUCCAGCUAUGGUGAGACGCGGCAGACGGCUCAGUAACACGUGGCUAACCUACCCUCAGGACAGGGACAAACCCGGGAAACUGGGGCUAAUACCCGAUAGGCGAGGGCGCCUGGAAUGGUUCUUCACCCAAAGGGCUUUGGAAGCAUGCUUUUCAAAGUCGCCUGGGGAUGGGGCCGCGUCCGAUCAGGUUGUUGGUGAGGUAACGGCUCACCAAGCCUAUAACCGGUACGGGCCGUGAGAGCGGUAGCCCGGAGAUGGGCACUGAGACAAGGGCCCAGGCCCUACGGGGCGCAGCAGUCGCGAAAACUCCGCAAUGCACGAAAGUGUGACGGGGCUACCCCGAGUGCCGUCCGCUGAGGAUGGCUUUUCCUCGGUGUAACUAGCCGGGGGAAUAAGGAGAGGGCAAGACUGGUGUCAGCCGCCGCGGUAAUACCAGCUCUCCGAGUGGUAGGGAUGAUUAUUGGGCUUAAAGCGUCCGUAGCCGGCUUAGCAAGUCUCCUGUUAAAUUCAGCGACCUAAUCGUUGAGCCGCGGGAGAUACUACUAGGCUAGGAGGCGGGAGAGGCCGACGGUACUUCCGGGGUAGGGGUGAAAUCCUAUAAUCCCGGGCGGANCACCAGUGGCGAANGCUGUCGGCUAGAACACGCUCGACGGUGAGGGACGAAANCUGGGGGAGCGAACCGGANUAGAUACCCGGGUAGUCCCAGCCGUAAACGAUGCGGGCUAGNNGUUGGGGUGGCUACNUGCCACUUCAGUGCCGCAGGGAAGCCAUUAAGCCCNCCGCCNGGGGA